AAGUCGUAACAAGGUUUCCGUAGGUGAACCUGCGGAAGGAUCAUUACAGAGUUCAUGCCCGAAAGGGUAGACCUCCCACCCUUGUGUAUUAUUACUUUGUUGCUUUGGCGAGCUGCCUCCGGGCCUUGUAUGCUCGCCAGAGAAUACCAAAACUCUUUUUAUUAAUGUCGUCUGAGUACUAUAUAAUAGUUAAAACUUUCAACAACGGAUCUCUUGGUUCUG
rnacentral:misc_RNA from 1 species